UGCAGGAUCCCGCGAACCACCGAGUCUUUGAACGCAAGUUGCGCCCGGAGCCUUGUGGCCGAGGGCACGUCUGCCUGGGCGUCACGC
rnacentral:rRNA from 1 species